rnacentral:rRNA from 1 species
CCUACGGGCGGCAGCAGUGGGGAAUAUUGCACAAUGGGGGAAACCCUGAUGCAGCGACGCCGCGUGAGUGAAGAAGUAUCUCGGUACGUAAAGCUCUAUCAUCAGGGAAGAAAAUGACGGUACCUGACUAAGAAGCCCCGGCUAACUACUUGCCAGCAGCCGCGGUGAUACGUAGGGGGCAAGCGUUAUCCGGAUUUACUGGGUGGAAAGGGGGCGUAGACGGCAGCAAACGUCUGUAGUGACAUCCCGGGGCUUAACCCCGGAACUGCUGUGUAAACUGUGCGGCUUGAGGGCAGGAGGGGUAAGCGGAAUUCCUAGUGUAGCGGUGAAAUGCGUAGAGAUUAGGAGGAUCACCGGUGGCGAAGGCGGCUUGCUGGACUGUAACUGACGUUGAGGCUCGAAAGCGUGGGGAGCAAACAGGAUUAGAUACCCCGGUAGUC